rnacentral:lncRNA from 1 species
UUACAAACCAGAACUAAUACAUAAAUUUAAUAAUGUAACUGUAGAAAAUAUUACUAAAGCGGAUUAUAUGUAUUACAUGAAUUAGAUACAAUUAAUAUAUUAAUUUUAAAUAAAUAGAAUUCAAAUUUAUAUAUUAAUUUAUUAUUUUCUAGAAAAUCAAUGUUUAUAGAUUUUCUAACGAUUUUGUUGCACCGAUCAUUAAAACAAGAUAUCAGCUAAAUCGGAAAUAUCAGUUCAGAACUAUUCAGAGAUGAACUAACUAUUCCUAAAAUCUUUCACUAUCUUAAUAACUUAACAUAACAAGUCCCUAAUAAAGCUAUCACAUUUAUAAAAAAAUAUAAACGUACAUGCUAAUCACGGAUUGAUAGAUUGAUUGCAACAUCUUUAGUAUUAUUCAUAACUUUAAGUACUUACCAUGUGAUAAAAAA